CAUUGACCUGAUGCUAAGGCUGGAGUGCAGUGGCAUGGUCUCAGCUGACUGCAACCUCCACCUCCCGGGUUCAAGUUAUCCUCCCACCUCACGCUCCCAAGUAGCUGGGACUGCAGGGCCCAGCGUGUCUCUGCAGGAAGGCAGGGCAUCCCAGGAUAUCACCAGCUCCUCUAGGAGUACAGGAGCCAAGGAGCUGCUGAGAUCUGCUGAUCACCCACUCACUCCA
rnacentral:lncRNA from 1 species